CCUUCGGGUCUAGUGGCGCACGGGUGCGUAACGCGUGGGAACCUGCCCUUAGGUUCGGAAUAACUCCUCGAAAGGGGUGCUAAUACCGGAUAAUGUCUUCGGACCAAAGAUUUAUCGCCUUUGGAUGGGCCCGCGUUGGAUUAGCUAGUUGGUGGGGUAAAGGCCUACCAAGGCGACGAUCCAUAGCUGGUCUUAGAGGAUGAUCAGCCACACUGGGACUGAGACACGGCCCAGACUCCUACGGGAGGCAGCAGUGGGGAAUAUUGGACAAUGGGGGAAACCCUGAUCCAGCAAUGCCGCGUGAGUGAUGAAGGCCUUAGGGUUGUAAAGCUCUUUUACCCGGGAUGAUAAUGACAGUACCGGGAGAAUAAGCCCCGGCUAACUCCGUGCCAGCAGCCGCGGUAAUACGGAGGGGGCUAGCGUUGUUCGGAAAUACUGGGCGUAAAGCGAACGUAGGCGGCUUAGCAAGUCAGGGGUGAAAUCCCAGAGCUCAACUCUGGAACUGCCUUUGAAACUGCUUCGCUUGAAUCCUGGAGAGGCGAGUGGAAUUCCGAGUGUAGAGGUGAAAUUCGUAGAUAUUCGGAAGAACACCAGUGGCGAAGGCGAC
rnacentral:rRNA from 1 species